ACUGAGCAACAGGGCCUUAUAAGGCAGCCAGGGAAACCAGGAGCAAGAAGUCUCUCUCUACCUACAGGGAGUUAAGAGACAAAGUACCAGGCUAGGCUGAGCUGGAGCUGAGGGUGCUCCAGCAUGGAAAGCCCCAGGCUACAGCCUAGCAUUAGGCUAACAGGGCCAUGUCUACACGUACAGAAGAUCCACACUGCUGCAAUUGAUGCAGCGGGGGUCAAUUUAGUGGGUCUAGUGAAGACCCACUAAAUCUACCGCAGAACGCUCUCCAAUCAACUCCAAUACUCCACCGAAACAAGAAGAUCAAGGAACUGAAGACCCUGAGAGCUGGACUAGAGAGCUGCAGCUGACGGAGCCGCAGGGAAUCACCCACACUGAGGAGCCUGGAAACCCUGAUGCUCAAUGGAUUACAGCAGCGGUCCCCAACCUUUUUGGCACC